rnacentral:rRNA from 1 species
GCGUAUGGUUACCGCGGAGGGAUCAUU